GGAGCUCUGGAGCCCCUUCUGGGAUUUGGGGGCAGGGGCCAGCUGGCCGGGGAGGUGGCCUAAUCGGGCGCAGGGCCUCGGUGGGCGGCGAAGGCCCAAGUCCGGGCCUUCGAAGGGGACGGGCGGCCUUCGAGGGGCCCCGGCCCCAGCCCGGCAGGAGAGUGGUGGCGCUGUGCAGCUGGAGGAGACGCGGUGAGGGGCCCCAUCAGGUCUCAGCGUUGUCAGCAACCUCCGGUCAAUCCGGUGACAGGCGUGUGGGCGUGCUGGUCUCUUCACUGCAUACCCAGCGCUUCGCACGGCAGUAGAACCGUGUCCUGCAGCUGGACCCUGGGCCUCCCCGCGCCCUCCGCCUCUGCGGCCUCCUGGCCCCUCGCCUUCCCGCGCCCGGGGACCCAUCCCUAGUUCCCGGCGCCCGGAACUCUCCGUCCCGCAGCCCCCGGCCGCGCUGACCCUGCAGGCGCCGCCGCUCCCGACCGCUCCUGGGCCAGCUGCGGAGGAGCUCGGCCAGCGUGGCGCUCGGGCACCGAGCGACUACACGGCCCCUGCCGGCUGACUCGAAGUCGAGAUGUGCUCGGGCGUUAUUUCUCCAGCGUCCCCCCUUUACCUAAUCCCUUAUGCUUUUAUUCUAAUCCUACACAUUACAGUUAAUCUGUAAUGAUACCGCUUCAGAGGAACCUGUUGCAUACGAGGCACGGUAAUUUGUAACCUUGGAAACAGUUUUAAAUAAAGAUUGUAACAGUGA